GUGCUCGUUUUGGCAGCACAUAUACUAAGAUUGGAACAAUAUAGAGAUUAGCAUAGCCCCUAAGCAAAGAUGACAUGCAAAUUUGUGAAGUGUUUCAUAUUUUA